CAUAUCAAUAAGCGGAGGAAAAGAAACUAACAAGGAUUCCCCUAGUAACUGCGAGUGAAGCGGGAAACGCUCAAAUUUAAAAUCUGGUGGUCUUUGGCCAUCCGAGUUGUAAUUUAGAGAAGCGUCUUCCGCGCUGGACCGUGUACAAGUCUCCUGGAAUGGAGCGUCAUAGAGGGUGAGAAUCCCGUCUUUGACACGGACCCCCAGGGCUUCUGCGAUGCGCUCUCGAAGAGUCGAGUUGUUUGGGAAUGCAGCUCAAAAUGGGUGGUGAACUCCAUCUAAAGCUAAAUAUUGGCGAGAGACCGAUAGCGAACAAGUACCGUGAGGGAAAGAUGAAAAGCACUUUGGAAAGAGAGUGAAACAGUACGUGAAAUUGUUGAAAGGGAAACGCUUCAAGUCAGUCGCGUCGACCGAGACUCAGCCUCGCCUCGGCUUGGUGUACUUCUCGGUCCGACGGGUCAGCAUCGAUUUCGAUCCUCAGAUAAUGGCGAGGGAAAGGUGGCACCCUUAUGGGUGUGUUAUAGUCCCCUGUCGGAUGUGAGGGUCGGGAUCGAGGAACUCAGCAUGCGCCUUUCGGCGUCGGGGCUUCGGCUCACGUUUACGUGCUUAGGAUGCUGGCGUAAUGGCUUUAAACGACCCGUCUUGAAACACGGACCAAGGAGUCUAACAUGCACGCAAGUGUUCGGGUGGAAAACUCGCAUGCGAAAUGAAAGUGAAAGUUGGGACCUCUGUCGUAGAGGGCACCGACGCCCGGACCAGACCUUCUGUGACGGAUCCGAGGUAGAGCGUGUAUGUUGGGACCCGAAAGAUGGUGAACUAUGCCUGAAUAGGGUGAAGCCAGAGGAAACUCUGGUGGAGGCUCGUAGCGAUUCU
rnacentral:rRNA from 1 species